GACGAACGCUGGCGGCGCGCUUAACACAUGCAAGUCGAGCGAGAACCCAGGCUUCGGCUUGGGGGAAAGCGGCGAACGGGUGAGUAUCACGUGGGUAAUCUGCCCUCGGCAUCGGGAUAGCCCGGGGAAACCCGGAUUAAUACCGAAUGGCCCAUCCGCUCUUCGGAGCGGCUGGAAAAGGUAGCUUCGGCCUCCGGCCGAGGAGGAGCCCGCGGCGGAUUAGCUUGUUGGUGGUGUAACGGCUCACCAAGGCAACGAUCCGUAGCUGGUCUGAGAGGACGAUCAGCCAGACUGGGACUGAGACACGGCCCAGACUCCUACGGGAGGCAGCAGUGGGGAAUCUUGCGCAAUGGGCGAAAGCCUGACGCAGCGACGCCGCGUGCGGGAAGAAGGCCUUCGGGUUGUAAACCGCUUUCAGGAGGGACGAAGCCACUCAGGUUAAUAGCCGAGAGGGUGACGGUACCUCCAGAAGAAGCCCCGGCUAACUACGUGCCAGCAGCCGCAGUAAGAC
rnacentral:rRNA from 1 species